rnacentral:rRNA from 1 species
AGCAGUAGCCGCGGGAAUACGUAGGGUGCAAGCGUUAAUCGGAAUUACUGGGCGUAAAGCGUGCGCAGGCGGUGUUGUAAGACUGAUGUGAAAUCCCCGGGCUCAACCUGGGAACUGCAUUGGUGACUGCAACGCUGGAGUGCGGCAGAGGGGGAUGGAAUUCCGCGUGUAGCAGUGAAAUGCGUAGAGAUCGGAAGGAACAUCUGUGGCGAAGGCGACUAUCUGGGCCAACACUGACACUGAGGCACGAAAGCGUGGGGAGCAAACAGGAUUAGAUACCCGCGUAGUCCCUGUCUCUUAUAA